AUACAAGUUUAGGCUCAGAAUGUGUGUUCAUGUGAUGAUAAUUGAUAAUAGGUGAAUUUAACUAUAUUCAGGUCCUAAAUAACCACUUUUUUGUAUAGUUUUAAUAAUGAAAGUGAUAACAAAAUGCUAUUAUUAGUGUUUUUCUUGAUGUGUAGGCUAUAUAUGACUAGAAAAGGUUAGGGAGCACUUUUGGAGUCAAUAAUGAAGGAAAAGAGGCCAACUGUGAAAACUCCCAAGUAAACCACGUGGAAGAAGGCCGAAGAAUCGGAGAAGGGCGUCUGCCGCGGUUCCACCGCGGCAGAACCGCGAUGGAAGGGAGCUGCAGAAAAAAGUGGUUUCCGCGGGGGUGUUUGGCCGCGGUUCUACAACGACCGCGGUGGGUGUGCUGAUGAUCA
rnacentral:lncRNA from 1 species